CCUGCCCCUAGAAAGGUUACAGGUAUGGCUGCUGUGUCAUAUGUGUGUCAGUAGGUGGCAGAGAGGCUAUGUCACCUCAGCGUUCUGCUCUGUAAACAUCUGAAUCAUUAGUAUCUCAACACU
ensembl:snoRNA LOC120103313 small nucleolar RNA SNORA17